rnacentral:rRNA from 1 species
AUUAGAGUGUUUCAAGCAGACUUGUGUCUUGAAUACUUCAGCAUGGAAUAAUAAAGUAGGACUUUGGUUCUAUUUUGUUGGUUUGUGAACCUUAGUAAUGGUUAAUAGGAACGGUUGGGGGCAUUCGUAUUUAACUGUCAGAGGUGAAAUUCUUAGAUUUGUUAAAGACGAACUACUGCGAA